CCUACGGGGAGCAGCAGUGGGGAAUAUUGGACAAUGGGCGAAAGCCUGAUCCAGCCAUGCCGCGUGUGUGAAGAAGACCUUCGGGUUGUAAAGCACUUUCAGUGGGGAAGAAAGCCUUGGGGCUAAUACCCUCGAGGAAGGACAUCACCCACAGAAGAAGCACCGGCUAACUCCGUGCCAGCAGCCGCGGUAAUACGGAGGGUGCGAGCGUUAAUCGGAAUUACUGGGCGUAAAGCGCGCGUAGGCGGUCUGAUAAGCCGGUUGUGAAAGCCCCGGGCUCAACCUGGGAACGGCAUCCGGAACUGUCAGGCUAGAGUGCAGGAGAGGAAGGUAGAAUUCCCGGUGUAGCGGUGAAAUGCGUAGAGAUCGGGAGGAAUACCAGUGGCGAAGGCGGCCUUCUGGACUGACACUGACGCUGAGGUGCGAAAGCGUGGGUAGCAAACAGGAUUAGAUACCCCUGUAGUC
rnacentral:rRNA from 1 species